AGAGUUUGAUCAUGGCUCAGGACGAACGCUGGCGGCGUGCUUAAUACAUGCAAGUCGAACGAGGUCCAACUGGUGGCAACACCGGUGAAGACCUAGUGGCGAACGGGUGAGUAGCACGUGAGCAACCUGCCCCGAAGAUCGGGAUAACACCGGGAAACCGGUGCUAAUACCGGAUGCCCCCACCGGACCGCAUGAUCCGGUGAGGAAAGGAUUUCCGCUUCGGGAGGGGCUCGCGGCCUAUCAGCUUGUUGGUGAGGUAACGGCUCACCAAGGCAACGACGGGUAGCUGGUCUGAGAGGACGAUCAGCCACACUGGGACUGAGACACGGCCCAGACUCCUACGGGAGGCAGCAGUAGGGAAUCUUGCGCAAUGGGCAAAAGCCUGACGCAGCAACGCCGCGUGAGGGACGAAGGCUUUCUGAGUUGUAAACCUCUUUCAGCAGGGACGAUUAUGACGGUACCUGCAGAAGAAGCACCGGCCAACUACGUGCCAGCAGCCGCGGUGAUACGUAGGGUGCGAGCGUUGUCCGGAUUUAUUGGGCGUAAAGAGCUCGUAGGCGGUUCGAUAAGUCGGGUGUGAAAUCUCCAGGCUCAACCUGGAGUCGCCACUCGAUACUGUCGUGACUAGAGUCCGGUAGGGGACCAUGGAAUUCCUGGUGUUGCGGUGAAAUGCGCAGAUAUCAGGAGGAACACCAGUAGCGAAGGCGGUGGUCUGGGCCGGAACUGACGCUGAGGAGCGAAAGCGUGGAGAGCGAACAGGAUUAGAUACCCCCGUAGUCC
rnacentral:rRNA from 1 species